rnacentral:lncRNA from 1 species
AAAUGUAGCUCAAAGUAACAAUAUAAAACAAGAAGAUAAGUAGAAGAAGAGAUAACUUUCUUAUUUCAUCAAGUGUUCAAAUGUAUUUCAUCUCAUUUUCAUGCCUCUACUUAUACUAUUACAUAUGAAGGUUACAAAAUAAUUGUCUUAAACAUGACAUUAGCAAUUGAGAUCGUAGGAAAAAAAUCAUGGAAAAAAGUUAUCGAGCCGUGAAAGUUACAAUCAUAAUAAGAAUGAGCAGUCGGAGGUUAUUCAUAUUAUGAAUAAAGAUAAUGAGAGUAAUGGACAUUCACAUUAGCUAUAUAUUUUACAACAACCAAAGGUUUUCCUUUAUUUCUUAUGCUUUAUGCCAAUCAAAUACUUUCACGUAAAUUGAGAAGGAUUAUAACCCCAAGUUU